UACGUAGGGGGCGAGCGUUGUCCGGAUUUACUGGGCGUAAAGCGCGUGUAGGCGGCCCGUUAAGUGGGGUGUGAAAGCCCGGGGCUCAACCCCGGGACGCCGCUUCAAACUGGCGGGCUUGAGGACGGAAGAGGGGAGUGGAAUUCCUGGUGUAGCGGUGAAAUGCGUAGAGAUCUGGAAGAACACCAAAGGCGAAGGCAGCGUCCUGGCGAGUCACUGACGCUCAGGUGCGAAAGCGUGGGGAGCGAUCCGG
rnacentral:rRNA from 1 species